rnacentral:lncRNA from 1 species
CAGACACAGAGGUUGCAGUUUCACUCAUGUGUUCUGGGUUUUCAGACGGCUCUGGCUCCGUGGACCCCCGGCCAGGCCGACGCUCCUGCGUUUGAUGAGUGGUUCAGGGGCACAGACGUCUGGAGCGAGGCUCACGUCAGACUCCAAUGUGCCAUCCACCGUUAGAAGGAGCAAGCAGACCGCAGUGAGACUCCAGUGUUCCAUCCUGGGGAUCGCGUCUGGCUCUCCUCCGACCGGUGGUUCCUUGUCCCCUGUCUGAUGCUGUCCCCCACGACACUUACCACCUGCUUCUCAACUCCCAGCGUCUACGUUACAGAAUGAGUAGCCCCCAGCUGCUGCUGGUUUUGUCUCUCUCCUCUCCUUUCCUCUUGUGGAGAUCAAACAAGAUGGGUGGUUUCCUGAGGAAAAUCCCCCAGUGCAACAGCUUGCUUCCAGGCGCCCGCUUUGCUGCAGAACACUUCUAAUGGAGACAGGUCCAUGCAAAGGUUAAUCCUCUUCGACAAGGAGCAACAGCAGCUCAGGUGUGACAAGCCCCCCUGUUCUGUUUGUCCACAACGCCUCUGCAACCUGAGGCUAGACCAGCGUCACCAUGGCGCUGUGUUUGUUUGUUCAGAUAUAAAUCACUAGGUUCCUGCAGUGAAUAGAAAUGUAAUAUGCAGUAUCGUUA